rnacentral:rRNA from 1 species
AUACGUAGGUGGCGAGCGUUGUCCGGAAUUAUUGGGCGUAAAGCGCGCGCAGGUGGUUCCUUAAGUCUGAUGUGAAAGCCCCCGGCUCAACCGGGGAGGGUCAUUGGAAACUGGGGAACUUGAGUGCAGAAGAGGAUAGUGGAAUUCCAAGUGUAGCGGUGAAAUGCGUAGAGAUUUGGAGGAACACCAGUGGCGAAGGCGACUGUCUGGUCUGUAACUUACACUGAGGCGCGAAAGCGUGGGGAGCAAACAGGAUUAGAUACCCUGGUAGUCCACGCCGUAAACGAUGAGUGCUAAGUGUUGGGGGGUUUCCGCCCCUCAGUGCUGCAGCUAACGCAUUAAGCACUCCGCCUGGGGAGUACGGUCGCAAGACUGAAACUCAAAGGAAUUGACGGGG